rnacentral:tRNA from 2 species
GCGGGUGUAGCUCAAUGGUAGAGUUCUGGCCUUCCAAGCCAGCUGUGAGGGUUCGAUCCCCUUCACCCGCUCUA